CACAGACAUUAGCGUUUAUAGGGCUGGCCCCGCUGUUGCAGUCCAGCCAAAAAGUAGAAGAUUCAGGCUAUCCUAUGGCGCAUUUGGAUAAGGACCUCAUCACAAGGGUAGUUGAACCCUGUUGUCACAGCCUCAAGCUCCAACUGUCUUUGCUGUCUUUUGCACAUGAGCCAUCUUUUGGACAGCGCCUGCGGGACCCUCCCUCAGCGCCAAUGAACGGGCUCGCUGGAGCUCUGCAAGGCCUGGCCAACCAGGUGGUGCUGGUGUGGCCGAGCGCUCUUCAGAAGGAGCUGGGUGGGGAGGAGUCUGACGAUAAGCUGAGGGACUACAUCUGGAACACACUCGGGGGGUGAGGGUGGUGUUGACCUGAGGAAGACGGACCCACAGGACAGCUGCCAGCGGGAUUUCACCCUGAAACACCUCCCCAUGAGCCCACGGUCGAGCUGGUGACUCAGCUCUACAGGAUUGUGCCCAAAGUGCUGGUGCAGGGGACAGACAAACGCCCCUGGCCCAACGAGGACACCCACAGCAGGGUCCUGCUGGCCCAGCUGGCCCAACUGGUGUAGAGCCGAGCCCUGGGGCAUCCCCUGGAUGGCCUGAUGGUGCUAAUCGGGACCAAGUCUGGUUAAAAAGGGAGUGAUGGAAAGAGUAGUAGGGAGAAGGAUGGGAUAGAAAGCCUGUGCCAGUAAGGGGUGAAUAGAAGAGGCGGUACACCUUUAAAGGGAACCUCCCCUGGAGAAAAACAGGAGCUCAAAAUGAUUAAAUUCAAUUACAUUUGAUACAAAGAUGCUUUACAGAGGAAACAGAAAACGAAAUAGGGUGAAAACCUGAUUGGAUGAGCACCAUAUCCUGACCGAUAGAUACUGUAUUGUGAGGGAGCGUAUCAUAUCCUGAGUCAUUAUUAUGCAAGUACCAUGUCCUCACAGGAUAUGUACUGUAUCCUGAUUGGGCCAGGAUCAUAUCCUGACAGGAUAGGCACUGCAUCCUGAUUGGGCGGCUACCAUACCCUGACAGGAUAGGUCCUGUAUCCUAAUUGGGUGGUUGCUCUCAGCUUUGAGAGGACAGGACAGCCUACAUGCAGUUACACUCUCUACACUGCAGCGGUACUCAUGUAGUCCUUCAUGUAGUCCUGUAGUUGGAAAACAACAAAAAGAAUGUUUUUAUUAAUUAAUGCUUUACUUCAGUUUGUAUUUUUUCCCAAAUUCAGGCAUUUUGUUAUCGGUAUCCAAACGAUUUUCAGUUGAAAGUAAGCAUUGGUUUUCUGAAAUAUGAUUUAAUAGGCUGAUCAUGGUAUAGUAUCACAGGCUUGGGUUCAUUUAUACAGUUUUUUCUGGGAUUGCAGUGCACAUACAUGUUUCCACUUCUGAAAGAAAAUCUGAUGUUUCAGUGAUGCUGCAAUACUUUACAUUGUGAUCAAUCCUGUCUGUUGGAUAGGACUCAGUGUAUCUGUGUGCUAUGCUAUGUCUUCCCAUUUUUAUAUAAUGUUUGCAUGUAAUUUCUCUGUAUGAAUGUUGGUUUCGCAAUCUACUGCAUUGCACACGUCCAGCUGUGUUCCAGCUUUUGGGUAGGAGGUGCAUUAGGACAUUUAAGGUCAGUCUGGCAAUCUACAGGCAGGAAAUUCAGUGAAGAACAGCUGUACAUGUACUGAGUCGGGUCAUUCAACUGUAAUGUUUC